CCCUUAGAUGUUCGGGGCCGCACGCGCGCUACACUGAAGGAAUCAGCACGUCUUUCUCCUUGUCCGAAAGGACUGGGUAACCCGCUGAACCUCCUUCGUGCUAGGGAUUGGGGCUUGUAAUUCCUCCCCAUGAACGAGGAAUUCCCAGUAAGCGCGAGUCAUAAGCUCGCGUUGAUUACGUCCCUGCCCUUUGUACACACCGCCCGUCGCUACUACCGAUUGGAUGGUUUAGUGAGAUCCUCGGAUUGGUCCCGGCGCGGCCUCUGGUCGUGCCGGAGUGCCGAAAAGAAUGUCGAACUUGAUCAUCUAGAGGAAGUAAAAGUCGUAACA
rnacentral:rRNA from 1 species